rnacentral:rRNA from 1 species
GACGAACGCUGGCGGCGUGCCUAAUACAUGCAAGUUGAGCGCUGAAGGUUGGUACUUGUACCGACUGGAUGAGCAGCGAACGGGUGAGUAACGCGUGGGGAAUCUGCCUUUGAGCGGGGGACAACAUUUGGAAACGAAUGCUAAUACCGCAUAAAAACUUUAAACACAAGUUUUAAGUUUGAAAGAUGCAAUUGCAUCACUCAAAGAUGAUCCCGCGUUGUAUUAGCUAGUUGGUGAGGUAAAGGCUCACCAAGGCGAUGAUACAUAGCCGACCUGAGAGGGUGAUCGGCCACAUUGGGACUGAGACACGGCCCAAACUCCUACGGGAGGCAGCAGUAGGGAAUCUUCGGCAAUGGACGAAAGUCUGACCGAGCAACGCCGCGUGAGUGAAGAAGGUUUUCGGAUCGUAAAACUCUGUUGGUAGAGGAGAACGUUGGUGAGAGUGGAAAGCUCAUCAAGUGACGGUAACUACCCAGAAAGGGACGGCUAACUACGUG